rnacentral:rRNA from 1 species
UCGAACGGUAGCACGAAGGAGCUUGCUCCUUGGGUGACGAGUGGCGGACGGGUGAGUAAUGCUUGGGAAUCUGGCUCAUGGAGGGGGAUAACUACGGGAAACUGUAGCUAAUACCGCGUAAUAUCUUCGGAUUAAAGUGUGGGACCGCAAGGCCACAUGCCAUGAGAUGAGCCCAAGUGGGAUUAGGUAGUUGGUGGGGUAAAGGCCUACCAAGCCGACGAUCUCUAGCUGGUCUGAGAGGAUGACCAGCCACACUGGAACUGAGACACGGUCCAGACUCCUACGGGAGGCAGCAGUGGGGAAUAUUGCACAAUGGGGGGAACCCUGAUGCAGCCAUGCCGCGUGAAUGAAGAAGGCCUUCGGGUUGUAAAGUUCUUUCGGUAGCGAGGAAGGUAUCAAAUUUAAUAGAUUUGGUAAUUGACGUUAACUACAGAA